GACGAACGCUGGCGGCGUGCUUAACACAUGCAAGUCGAACGGGCCUUGUCCCCUUUUUUUUUGGGGGUGGGGUUAGUGGCGAACGGGUGAGUAACACGUGAGUAACCUGCCCCUCACUUCUGGAUAACCGCUUGAAAGGGUGGCUAAUACGGGGUGUUCUGGCCUGCUCGCAUGGGUGGGUUUGGAAAGAUUCGACCGGUUUGGUGGUUUUGGUGGGGGAUGGGCUCGCGGCCUAUCAGCUUGUUGGUGGGGUGAUGGCCUGCCAAGGCUUUGACGGGUAGCCGGCCUGAGAGGGUGGGCGGUCACACUGGGACUGAGACACGGCCCAGACUCAUACGGGAGGCAGCAGUGGGGAAUAUUGCACAAUGGGCGCAAGCCUGAUGCAGCGACGCCGCGUGAGGGAUGGAGGCCUUCGGGUUGUGAACCUCUUUCGCCAGUGAAGAAGGUCCUGCUCUUUGUGGUGGGAUUGACGGUAGCUGGGUUAAUGAAGCGCCGGCUAACUACGUG
rnacentral:rRNA from 1 species